rfam:Lobosporangium transversale strain NRRL 3116 BCR41scaffold_17, whole genome shotgun sequence.
GGGGCUGUAGCUCAUUUGGUAGAGCGCUCCCUUCGCAUGGGAGAGGCACUGGUUUCGACUACCAGCUGCUCCA